GGGGACGACCUGGCUUCGACGUGGGUUACAAAACUUAAGGUGCAUGCCGAGUAUGUUGGUUUUUCUCGUAAAACAGACUGACAAAAUGAUAGUUGCAAACGAUAACAACUACGCCCUAGCAGCUUAAGCCUGCUAGCCUUUGACUGAAGCCGUGCUUAUGCGUUCAGAUUUCAGAGGUCGAUCUC
rnacentral:tmRNA from 1 species